rnacentral:lncRNA from 1 species
CCCUCCUUUCCUUCCUUCCAUCCUUCCUCCCUUCCUUUUAGUAUGUUAUUAAUCUUUGCUGGUAAUCUAACAAACUUGUUGUAAACCAUGAAAAUACCCUAAGUUCCUUGAGGCUCUACUCUAACAGAACUGGUGAAUGAGAAUCUUUGGAAGAUCAUGAGUUGGCCAAUUGAAACUCUUCCUCAGUAAUGAAUGUGGAGAGUGGCAGGAAGGAAAGCACAUGCAUCCCGACCCAGUGAGGAUGGUGGCUAGGACCUAUUUUCAAUUACAUGAAAUCAGAAGCAGACUUACCAGACGCUCUUGCUUUAUGAAGUGGGUAUGGCCUAUGCUUUUUACUUCUCAAGUUGGGUGGAAUCCAGGUGGAUAUGUAGGAAUUUUCAGUAACCCAUUAGAACAUAAUUGAUUCAUAUUAUUCUCCCUCUCAGGCCGUUUAUGGAGGAAAAAAAAAAACUUUGGUUUAUUUCUCCUUUGAGUGAGGAAGAUAAAAUGAAACAAAGCCAAACAAGCAUCUGAAAUCCAAUCAUUAAAAUGACAACUUAAGAGUUUUGCAAAGUGAAAAAAUAUUUGCAUACAUUUGAGAACGUGGCUAUGGAAUUAAGACUGAGGGACGAGCUGAUGUGUCCCUAAUCAACUCAAAUAUAUAUGAAGAGAGAGAAAGCAGCAUUUCUCAGGCCAACUUUUUAAGGCUCAUGCCCCACCAGCAAAGAAGUUAUUGGCAAGCUUUAUUUUCAAAGUUUGUAUUAUGAAAGCAAUGCAUUUCAUUUUCUAAAUAGGACACUGUAUUAUAAUAUUUAAUGUGCUUUUUCAAAAUACUGUUCCUUGACUCUACACCCUGUAUUGUUCCCUUCUACCCCUCCCCCUCUGCUUGAGGGUCACUGAACGAUAAAAUUCAAGUGCCUUACUUAUAAUACUAUGCGUCUACAGCUGAUUCUGGCAAAACUUCUCAGGAUAUUCUCUGCAGGAAGUCCAAGAACAAACUUUGCUAUGUUAAAGAAAGUAAGGAAAGGUUUGGUAUUUCUUUAAAAAUACAGGAGUUCUUGUCAUGGCUCAGUGGUAAUGAACCCAAAUAGUACCCAUGAGGACGUGGGUUCAAUCCCUGGCCUUGCUCAGUGGUCGGAUUCAUUCACUGAGCCACAAUGGGAACUCCAGGAUUAAGUUUCUUGAUGAGACAUUUUUUAAAAAUUGUCACUGACACUAAUUAUGUUGUGUGGGAUCCAUGUGAUUCGAGUGGGCUAUUGAUAAUGUGAUUUGGGGCUGUACAAGAUCUUUCAUUUUGCUCUCCCAAGUCACAAAGAGAAGCUUCUAAUUUUAUGUAUUAUGUCUAGUGGCUAAAAAAAUAGCUCAUAGGAAAAUGAGGGAACAGGACACAAAGAGGCAAAUUUUUCCCAAGUCAAGAAUUACACCAAAACCAAGAAUUCUUCAC